rnacentral:rRNA from 1 species
UACGUAGGGCGCGAGCGUUGUCCGGAAUUAUUGGGCGUAAAGAGCUCGUAGGCGGUUUGUCGCGUCGGUUGUGAAAACCCAAGGCUCAACCUUGGGCCUGCAAUCGAUACGGGCAGACUAGAGUACUGCAGGGGAGACUGGAAUUCCUGGUGUAGCGGUGGAAUGCGCAGAUAUCAGGAGGAACACCGGUGGCGAAGGCGGGUCUCUGGGCAGUAACUGACGCUGAGGAGCGAAAGCGUGGGGAGCAAACAGG